rnacentral:lncRNA from 7 species
AUAGGACUGAGACUGGAGAGCCUGGCUGAGCAAGGAAGAGGACCCAGGAACCUUUGUCCCAGUGAGAGAGGCUGAGGAGUACGUACCAAGGGACAGUUUGUGAGACUCUGCCCCUCCCUCCCCACUGCUGAUAUAACAGCAUGAAAUUAAACCUAUUCCAGUCUGUGACAUCUGAUCCCUUUGACAUGACAUAGUACAACCUGUAGAGCCAGAGGUGGGGGCCAGGAAGCCCUGUUCUAGUCUCUCUGCACAACCUUGAGCCAUCUCAUCAUCUGCACAUCUGCCUGAACCUCAGUCUCCCACUCUGGACGUUGUCGGGGUGAUGGAGCAAGCAUUCAGUUAUUCUCUGCUGGAUUCUGAUGUGGUCUAAAGUCCACACUUUGUUGUGAAACACCGCAAUCUGUGAUGUACAGAACCUAUUACUGCGGCCACCCAGGAAUGCUGGGGGCAGGCCUUUUGAGAAGGUGAAUCAGCGUGUGUUAGCUCAGGGCAGAGGGCCUGGCGGUGAGACGUGAGAACAGCCAAUGUCAUGGCGGUGGGGGAGUGGACGUGAGCCAUCUGGGGCCCAGCAAACAGCA